UACGAAGGGGGGCGAGCGUUGUUCGGAAUUACUGGGCGUAAAGGGCGCGCAGGCGGCCUUAGAAGUCAGAUGUGAAAGCCCCGGGCUCAACCUGGGAAUGGCAUUGAUACUCUGAGGCUGGAGUACGGGAGAGGAGAGUGGAAUUCCCAGUGUAGAGGUGAAAUUCGUAGAUAGUUGGGAAGAACACCGGUGGCGAAGGCGGCUCUCUGGACCGUAACUGACGCGUGAGGCG
rnacentral:rRNA from 1 species